rnacentral:rRNA from 1 species
AGUGAACGCUGGCGGUAGGCCUAACACAUGCAAGUCGAACGGCAGCACAGUAAGAGCUUGCUCCUACGGGUGGCGAGUGGCGGACGGGUGAGGCAUACAUCGGAAUCUACUUUUUCGUGGGGGAUAACGUAGGGAAACUUACGCUAAUACCGCAUACGACCUACGGGAGAAAGCAGGGGAUCUUCGGACCUUGCGCGAUUGAAUGAGCCGAUGUCGCAUUAGCUAGUUGGCGGGGUAAAGGCCCACCAAGGCGACGAUCCGUAGCUGGUCUGAGGGGAUGAUCAGCCACACUGGAACUGAGACACGGUCCAGACUCCUACGGGAGGCAGCAGUAGGGAAUAUUGGACAAUGGGCGCAAGCCUGAUCCAGCCAUACCGCGUGGGUGAUGAAGGCCUUCGGGUUGUAAAACCCUUUUGUUGGGAAAGAAAAGCAGCAUGUUAAUACCCCGCUGUUCUGACGGUACCCAAAGAGUAAGCACCGGCUAACUUCGUG